rnacentral:snRNA from 1 species
GGAUGUGAGGGUGAUCCGGCUUCGAGAUCUGUCACCCCAUUGAUCACCAGGGUUGAUUCAGCUGAUCUGGCUGGCUAGGCAGGUGUCCUCUUCCUCCCUCAAUGCUCCAUGUGUGUCCCUCCCAAAGCUGUGUGCUUGGCAAAGAGGAUGACCACCCCUGAUAGAAGAGGACCAUUCCUCGGUUAAGGGUAUAGGAGUAGCUGCACUCCCCUGCUAGAACCUCCAAACAAGCUCUUGAGAUAAAGAAGGUCACUAUACACUUGUGGGGGGAAAACUUCAAGAGGAAGAGAUAACAAUCAUAAACAUCUAUGCACCAAAUAUAGGUGCACCCACUUAUAU